GGAAAGUGCAAACUUUUAUUUUGCUAUCAAAUUGCAUUUGUAGGAAAUAUUUAAAAUGAACAGUAUUGUCAUAAAAAGUAAGCCAGAGCAUCUCUGAUCAGGCAUUUUUAAUUCAUUCCAAAUGAUCUGAUUUCACAGGAAAAGAAAGACGUGGUAAAAAUAGCCUUUCUCAGACUAGUGGCAUAAGGAACGGUGGUGUAAAAGGCCUUGAUCCACAGCCCACUUGAAGUCAUUACAGUGACAUCAUUCAGCCUUGGAUCAGGGCUUGAGCAAAGAAUAUAUUGAUUUUUAAACAGAUGUGAGACCAGAAUCUAACUCAACAUACAGACACUGUAUGAAUUGCAUUGAAAUGUCUGUCUUUAUUUUAGCAGGAUCUGAGAACAGUUUUACCUUUCUGCAUCUACCUGUAAAACAAGAUACUUUUCUGAACAAAUAUGAACAAAUCUGGGUGACCAACAAUCUAGUCUCAAGAACUAUUUUCUUUCAUAUUUUCAUCAAAACCAUAGUUCAAUUUAGGGAAUAUAUAUCUGUAUAUCCCAAACAGGUUAUUUUAGUAGUAUUUUUAUAGUUUGGAAAUGACAAAGUAUUCUACUCUUACAAAUGAAACAGGAAAGACACAAUGCUACAUAUGCAAAUGAAAUUAAAAUACCUGAAGGAUUGCUUUUCCAUGAUGUAGACAUUACACAUAAAUCGACAGUAAUUUAAAUUUCAUCAUUAUCAUGCACUUGUAGAGUUUCUUCAAAAUUUAAGUUGAUAGUUAAUUUAAGAAUGCUGACUUAGAUCACAAUACAGUAAUUAGACAAAAUUAAAGUAAAAAUUGAAAGAAAAUUAAUCAAGUAAUAUAAUAAAUUUUGUAGUACCUUUUCCAUGGACAACUCCACUAAUAAUCUUACAGUAUGAAUUAUCAGGGAGGAAAAAUGGUUUGAUUACACAACUUUGUUACAAAACUAUCUUUGAAUUAAGGUGGCAAUGCGAUAGGUGCUAGCUUUCACUGAAAACGCUGCCUGCUUUUUUUACAUCUACACUGCAGAUUUAUUUUUAUAUCAGUUUUUAAUGUAUCAGUGAAAAUAGCAAAGGUUUCGAGGACUGCAGGGUGGCUCGCAAUGCUCUAGUGCUUCGGAGGAGUGUGGUUUUUCACAUAAUGCUUAAAAUACGUGUCUCACAGUAAAAUAAUGAUUUAAAAGACCAGAACAAAUCCUGGGUAAAAAGAGUGAACACAAACAUUUAAAGUAUUAAAUAUAUACAUAUAAAGUAUGAAAGUAUUAAGUGUUCCUUAUCUGAGCACAAGGUGAAAUGAAACACAGGAGAAGGAAAAGAAGAAACUGUAUUUCAACAGCAGGGAUGUUCCUGACCCUUCCUGGCAUCAGCACUCUCCUGUAUUUUUUAAUCUCAUAACUGGGAGUUUUGAUCAUUUUUCAUGAGGGAGAAUUGCUCAGAUAUCCCUUCCACAUAAUUUUAAAUGGAAACUGGAAGAAUAAGAGAAGCAAAACAAAACCUAAACCCUGUAUGCUCCAUUUGCUGAAUAUAUGGUUUUCUUCUCCCCACGUGUGCAUGUGCCAGAUGGCAUUACACUGGGUUGGAUGAUAAUAAACAUGAAAAAUACAGUCAGUGCACGAGCAGAGAUAACUGUGGCUGAAUGUACAAGGAUUUGGGCUGGUGGGGGAAAGGGGCAGAAGUUCCAGCGGUGAGUGAAAAGCAAAGUUCAUGUCCUCAAGGGAGAAGCUGCUCUUGUUUCCAAUCAGCUUCCGUUGGCAGGGGGACUUGGGACCGCUGGGAAAGGAGGUUGUCCCUGGUUAUCCCAGCACCCUACCCAAGGGGAACAUUUGGGGCCAUUUCCCUCCUGGCAGAGCCAAGUCUGUAAACCUAGAGUGACAGGAAAUUGUUUGGUGCUAUGGAGGGGCAGCAGGCCUGAGUGAGGGGUGGCUAACGCACCUCUGGUCUCUCAACCCCUGGGCGUGAGGCUGGAAGGCUGCUGUGAAGGGAUGAGGUUCAGCUGGCAACACAGGCUGCUCUAGGAGAGGGACAUGUCUGGGCCAAGGGUGGUGGACUGACCUUGUGGGCCCCUGUCCCCUUCCCAUGGCCUGGGCCCUGAGGAUAUCAUCCAUCCCACCAUUGUGUGGGAGCUGCUGUGUCCGCAGAGAGGACCCUCACCUCUGCUUAGCCCCUUGGCAACACCUCCACGGGAAGCACGAGGAGCAGCUGCUCCUCUUGGAAAGCCACUGCAUCUUCCUCCUUCAUAACCUCUUUCUGGAAGUAAGAGGUAUCUCCAGAUGAAAUACACCCAUGUACAGCAACAGGGCAUUUGGCCCCUGGCCAUGUGCAUUGCUGUUGUCCUCUGUGCAGGCACUGGCUUCACAACAUUGUUUUUCCUCUGGAUUUCUGCAUUCAGGUUAGCAAGUGAGGCGCCUGGAGGGGACCUAAAGCAUGUGCAAGACCUCCUAGAGCAUAGAUUUUGAGGGAUCCAUUUGUCUAGUAGGUGAAGUUUUUCUCCUAUCAGAUGAACUGAUAAAAGAAAGAGUCUUGGGGGCAUCUGCUAACAAAUACCUGGCAGGGAAGGGUGCUUACAGUAGGUAUCAGCUAUAUUGAAACCUUUGUAUGAAGCAGUCUGCAUUCCUGCUGUUACUCAUAUGACCAAGAGGCUGAUGUAGUUGGAAACUGGUUUUCUUUCAACCCAGUACCUGUCCUAGGAAAAUUCUCUCUGGCAAGGGAAAAGAAACUUCCAACCAGAAGAUGAAAUGGCACCUAUGCAGUAAUUUAUUUGCCCCAUUCACUUCAACCUCUCUUUGCUUUUGUUUGUUACUCUGAUUUUUUCCUUCUUACUGACACAUUGCAUUUUGAAAGGGACAAACUUAAAUUUAGGAAGCUAAUCAAAAUGCAGUGGAUAAUUAUUUAGUUUUAAAUAAUUCUAUUCUUUGCUUCCUUUGUAAUCUAUGUGACAUUGUUACAGAAUGCAUUACCCAAGCAAAAGGAGCAGGAAAGAAGCACGGAAUUAUUCUUGGUCCUGUAAAGAAUGUAAUUAAGAGUUUCUUAACUCAGCUCUCUUAGUCCAAUGAAACUUUCUUCUCUGUUCCUGCAUGAACACUGAGCAUAGUCAGCACUCAAGAGUGACCACUAAAAUGUGUGACUGCUCCGUCUAUGAACUAGGCAGCAUCUGAGGCUGGCUAUGACAUUAUCCAUCUUUGUAGGCUAACUACAAUAAGUUGGAGAAGAAGCUUUGGAUUCACUAAUUCCUGUGAGAUAAGAGAUGGGGAAGAGGGAAAGGUAAUCCCCAGCAUUUUAAGAUACGGAUGGCAGAGACCUUAGCUCCUUGAGCACAGGCUCUGGGCAUGAGGGUGGAAGACAGGGGAGUUUCCUCUGCUCAGCACAUGGAGAGGCAUUUACCAAAAGGUUGCAAAAGGCAUUUAGCAUCAGCUGCACCACAGUUAUUGGGAGCGCAGGGAAAGGGACCGAGGGAUGUGAGCUGGCAAUGUGGCUGGGAUCACAGUCCCCACUGGUUGUUGGCUGGCGGUUUUUUUUCCUUUUUUUCCUUUUUUUGGGUGACUUCGAGAGAUGUCACGGCAAAGUGAAAUCUUUGUGGAGGGCUGCUCAUGCAUUCAGACUGUAGAGUUUUCAAAAUGUGAUGUUUUGCAAUGAUGACAUUAGAGUAGCAACCAAGGGUCCGGAGACAGCAACGCCUGCUGCAGCUGGGCUUCGCUUUGAAAUGCCCAAGACAAUGGGGGCCACUGUUCUUCAUCGCUUCGCCUUUCCAUUCCAUUUGCAUAGUCUGUUCUGCCUGAUUGACCAGCUUGGGCUGUCCAAGGGACCAGCAUUGUUCACAGAUCACUUCAAGAUGGCACAGAUGACAAGAUUCAGGUGAGAGAUGAAGUGGGAUGAUUCUCGAAUGCCAUAAGGAAAAGCCACCCUGGGAACUUUUAGUGCAAGAGAAAUAAUUCCAGAAUUGCAGCAUUUAAAGGAUUUUUUUAAUAACCUUUAAAAAAAAAAAAAAA
rnacentral:lncRNA from 1 species